rnacentral:rRNA from 1 species
GGCAGCACGAUGUAGCAAUACAUUGGUGGCGACCGGCGCACGGGUGAGUAACGCGUAUGCAACCUACCUAUCAGAGGGGAAUAACCCGGCGAAAGUCGGACUAAUACCGCAUAAAACAGGGGUUCCACAUGGAAAUAUUUGUUAAAGAAUUAUCGCUGAUAGAUGGGCAUGCGUUCCAUUAGAUAGUUGGUGAGGUAACGGCUCACCAAGUCCACGAUGGAUAGGGGUUCUGAGAGGAAGGUCCCCCACACUGGUACUGAGACACGGACCAGACUCCUACGGGAGGCAGCAGUGAGGAAUAUUGGUCAAUGGGCGAGAGCCUGAACCAGCCAAGUCGCGUGAAGGAUGAAGGAUCUAUGGUUUGUAAACUUCUUUUAUAUGGGAAUAAAGUGAGGAACGUGUUCCUUUUUGUAUGUACCAUAUGAAUAAGCAUCGGCUAACUCCGUGCCAGCAGCCGCGGUAAUACGGAGGAUGCGAGCGUUAUCCGGAUUUAUUGGGUUUAAAGGGUGCGUAGGUGGUUAAUUAAGUCAGCGGUGAAAGUUUGUGGCUCAACCAUAAAAUUGCCGUUGAAACUGGUUGACUUGAGUAUAUUUGAGGUAGGCGGAAUGCGUGGUGUAGCGGUGAAAUGCAUAGAUAUCACGCAGAACUCCGAUUGCGAAGGCAGCUUACUAAACUAUAACUGACACUGAAGCACGAAAGCGUGGGGAUCAAACAGGAUUAGAUACCCUGGUAGUCCACGCAGUAAACGAUGAUUACUAGCUGUUUGCG